GACGAACGCUGGCGGCGUGCUUAACACAUGCAAGUCGAGCGGUAAGGCUCCUUCGGGAGUACACGAGCGGCGAACGGGUGAGUAACACGUGAGCAAUCUGCCCUUCACAUGGGAAUAACUUCGGGAAACCGAAGCUAAUACCGAAUACGACCACCGAUGGCAUCUUCUGGUGGUGGAAAGUUCCGGCGGUGAAGGAUGAGCUCGCGGCCUAUCAGCUUGUGGUGAGGUAAUGGCCCACCAAGGCGACGACGGGUAGCCGGCCUGAGAGGGUGACCGGCCACACUGGGACUGAGACACGGCCCAGACUCCUACGGGAGGCAGCAGUGGGGAAUAUUGGACAAUGGGCGAAAGCCUGAUCCAGCAACGCCGCGUGAGGGAUGACGGCCUCGGUGUAA
rnacentral:rRNA from 1 species